rnacentral:rRNA from 1 species
UACGUAGGGUGCAAGCGUUGUCCGGAAUUAUUGGGCGUAAAGAGCUCGUAGGCGGUCUGUCGCGUCGGAUGUGAAAAUCCAGGGCUUAACCCUGGACCUGCAUUCGAUACGGGCAGACUAGAGUUCGGUAGGGGAGUCUGGAAUUCCUGGUGUAGCGGUGAAAUGCGCAGAUAUCAGGAGGAACACCGGUGGCGAAGGCGGGUCUCUGGGCCGAUACUGACGCUGAGGAGCGAAAGCGUGGGGAGCGAACAGG